UACAGAGGUCUCAAGCGUUGUUCGGAUUCAUUGGGCGUAAAGGGUGCGUAGGUUGCAGGGUAAGUUGGAUGUGAAAUCCCGGAGCUUAACUCCGGAACUGCAUUCAAUACUACUCAGCUAGAGUACUGGAGAGGAGAUUGGAAUUCACGGUGUAGCAGUGAAAUGCGUAGAUAUCGUGAGGAAGACCAGUGGCGAAGGCGAAUCUCUGGACAGUUACUGACGCUGAGGCACGGAAGGCCGAGGGGAGCGAAAA
rnacentral:rRNA from 1 species